CGCCCGCGCCUCCGCCAGCUCCCGCCGCCCGCGCCUCCACCCGCCGCCUCCGCCCGCCGCCCGCCGCCCGCGCCCCCACGCUCGCGCCACCGCCUCCGAUCCGAGCUGCCGGGCUUCUUCAGAGCAGCUGUUUGGAAAAGUGAUCUGGCCUGAUGUCAGGAUGGGUCUUCGGGCACCAAAUGCAUUGACCGGCAACAGGAUCUUCUGACUUGGGUAGUGUACUGGUACAUUGACAGAUUGUGCCUGACACCUUUCCCACCACUUGUUUUCGAGCUGCUGUGUUGAACCGUUGAUGGUGAUGCCGCAGCCUAUGGGCACGCUGGGAAUGAUCGCGAUGGCGUGCUGACCACGCAGCUGUACAGUGUAUACUGCUGUUUGGCAGUCUUGUCUGUCUAGCUGAUGACUGUGUUCUAACAAGAAGAGUUUCAUGAUAAUCUUAUUAAUGUUUUUGUGGCUGGUUUCAGUUUUUGCAGUGUGAGUGACCAAACCAGCCGCUGCAACCACCUCCGGGCAGUUAAGCGCACCUGUAGACUGCAGUCAGCCCCCUUGCACACGUCUUCUUCUGCUCAAUCAUCAGGCCUGCAGAGUUGCAAAAGGAUUAAUAGUUAAAUAAAAAGGUUUGCCAUGCAUGGAGUAUGGACUUUGUCCCUAGAGGCACAUGCCCUUACACAGUUACAUCCAGUGUGUCAGGGGGUAAUAGGCCGGCCGUGUUUCCUACGGUCAUUGUGUGUGGCUCUCUCUCUCUCUCAAAAAAGAAAAGAAAAGAAAGAGAGGCCAUUGUGUGUGUGUUUGUGUUCAACUGCUCACCCUGCUAAAAAAAACCAAGGAUUUUGGGUCCAUGGCUAUGCAAGGAAGAAGCACUUGUAAGUUAAUGGAGUUGAUUUUCUAGAUACACUGUAUGGAAGAGAGAAACAUCUGUAAGUAUUUUUUAAAA